rnacentral:rRNA from 1 species
CUAAUACAUGCAAGUCGAACGCAGUCGACCUUCGGGUCAUAUGACUGAGUGGCGAACGGGUGAGUAACACGUGAGAAACCUGCCCCGAAGACUGGAAUAACCCGAGGAAACUCGGGCUAAUACCGGAUGUCCCCAGAUGGCCGCAUGGCCGACUGAGGAAAUGCUCCGGCGCUUUGGGAAGGUCUCGCGGCCUAUCAGCUUGUUGGUGAGGUAACGGCUCACCAAGGCUUCGACGGGUAGCUGGUCUGAGAGGACGAUCAGCCACACUGGGACUGAGAUACGGCCCAGACUCCUACGGGAGGCAGCAGUAGGGAAUCUUGCGCAAUGGGCGAAAGCCUGACGCAGCCACGCCGCGUGAGUGAUGAAGGCCCUCGGGUCGUAAAGCUCUUUCAGCAGGGACGAAAAUGACGGUACCUGCAGAAGAAGCCCCGGCCAACUACGUGCCAGCAGCCGCGGUAACACGUAGGGGGCAAGCGUUGUCCGGAUUUAUUGGGCGUAAAGGGCUCGUAGGCUGUUCAGUAAGUCAGGUGUGAAAACUCGAGGCUCAACCUCGAGAUGCCACUUGAUACUGCUGUGACUAGAGUUCGGUAGAGGAGUGUGGAAUUCCUAGUGUAGCGGUGAAAUGCGCAGAUAUUAGGAGGAACACCAACAGCGAAGGCAGCACUCUGGGCCGAUACUGACGCUGAGGAGCGAAAGCGUGGGGAGCGAACAGGAUUAGAUACCCUGGUAGUCCACGCCGUAAACGGUGGGCACUAGAUGUGGGAUCCAGUCAACGGAUUCCGCGUCGUAGCUAACGCAUUAAGUGCCCCGCCUGGGGAGUACGGCCGCAAGGCUAAAACUCAAAGGAAUUGACGGGGGCCCGCACAAGCGGCGGAGCAUGUUGCUUAUUCGAGGCAAGCGCGAAGAACCUUACCUGGGUUUGACAUGUAGGGAAAAGCCAUAGAGAUAUGGUGUCCUUAGGGGCCUUACACAGGUGGUGCAUGGCUGUCGUCAGCUUCGUGUCGUGAGAUGUUGGGUAAGUCCCGCAACGGAGCGCACCCUUGUCCUAUGUUGCCAGCGGGUAAUGCCGGGACCUCGUAGAGACUGCCGGGUUCACCUCGGAGAAGGUGGGGACGACGUCAGUCAUCAUGCCCCUUAUGUGGUUGGCUACCACACGUGCUACGAUGGCACUUACCAUGGAAGUCAAAGAGAGCCGACUCUCUAGCCUUAAUC